rfam:Coniochaeta ligniaria NRRL 30616 unplaced genomic scaffold CONLIGscaffold_6, whole genome shotgun sequence.
GCAGAUAUGGCCGAGUGGUUUAAGGCGAUGGUUUUAAGUUAUAAACACUUAAUUCACCAUUAUCGAGAGAUUCGUGGGUUCGAAUCCCACUGUCUGCA